AAAAACCGAUGACAGAAUUUGAAAAGUGGCUAGAGUUAGUAUCUGGUGGUCGUGUGAUCGAUAUCUAUAUUUAUAUAUUAAAGUUCAACAUUCAAGGAAUCACAGGUAUCUCGUUGAUAUCGCAAGGACGAGCUUUGAAACACGAAGGGGAAUAAUACGGAGUUUUUGAGAAGACCCUGAAGGCAACACCCACCUGUAGCUCGAGCUCGCAGGAAGCAGCCGCUCCGGUGGAUUAACUCUGGAAAAUAUCGAUUAUUGAUUAAUUAAUUAAUUAUUUCUGCUCUGUCGGGCUGUGGAACAGACACACGUCGUGUUUUCAAGUGAAAUAAAUGUUUUUUUUUAGCGAAGUCUUUGAGAAAAAACAUCGCUAACGUAAGUUGACGUCCGUUGUGUCAGCGGGUUUCCAUGGAGACGGAGGAUUAACUCAACCUGGCUAACGUUAGCAACGGGGAAGCUACCGACAACCGUCAGUUUGUCUCUGAGCCUCUGACCGGUGGACUUAACGGAGCUGUGUCUGUGGGUUGCUAUGGCGACCAAAUACCGACAGGCUAAAACUAACCGUCGGUUGACUAACCGUCGGUUGACUCUGUGCUAACCGUCGGUUGAGUCUGUGCUAACCGUCGGUUAGUUAACCGUCGGUUACCGUCGGUUGACUCUGUGCUAACUGAAUCGAUAUAAUAAUAUUAAUAAGUUAUAAAUAAUAAAUUGAAAACCAGAUUAAAAGUAUCUGUGAACGGUGAGAGUUGAAUUAGUUGAAUGAAUGUUUGAACGUUUAGUUUCAGUGUGUCAGCUGAUGGAGGAGCAGAGGGAGACGGGAGGAGGUGCAGACUCUCAGGAGGAAGGAGGAGGUAUCAGGUGUAUCUCAGAGGAGCUGCUGCUGAAGCUGACUGGCUGUCAGUCUGUGGCUCAGGUUCGAUCCCUCACUCUGUCCUCUUUAACUGGAGACAAACAUAUCAAGGUCAUAGAGAACCUCCAUGGCUGUCGGCGUCUGCAGGUUUUAAACUUGAACCACAACUUGAUCCAGAGGAUGGAGAGACUGAACACUCUGACACAGCUGAGAGAGCUGCAGCUGGCCCACAACAACAUCCAGAGGAUCGAGGGACUGGAGCUCAUGUCCAGUCUGCAGGUUCUGAACUUGUCCCACAACAGGAUCGACCAUGUUCCCACGUGGUUCGGGAAGAAACUGCAGUCGCUGCACACACUCCACCUACAACACAACCUCAUCACAUCUGUGAGUUUGUGUGUGUGUGUGUGUGUGUGUGUGUGUGUGUGUGAGUGUGUGUGUGUGUCUGUGUGUGUGUGAGUGUGUGAGUGUGUGUGCGUGCGUUUUUCUAUCCUGAUGAGGACCACAACCUGACUUUUCACUCAGCAU